CCUACGGGGGGCAGCAGUGAGGAAUAUUGGUCAAUGGACGAGAGUCUGAACCAGCCAAGUAGCGUGAAGGAUGACUGCCCUAUGGGUUGUAAACUUCUUUUAUAUGGGAAUAAAAUGUUCCACGUGUGGGAUUUUGUAUGUACCAUAUGAAUAAGGAUCGGCUAACUCCGUGCCAGCAGCCGCGGUAAUACGGAGGAUCCGAGCGUUAUCCGGAUUUAUUGGGUUUAAGGGAGCGUAGGUGGAUUGUUAAGUCAGUUGUGAAAGUUUGCGGCUCAACCGUAAAAUUGCAGUUGAAACUGGCAGUCUUGAGUACAGUAGAGGUGGGCGGAAUUCGUGGUGUAGCGGUGAAAUGCUUAGAUAUCACGAAGAACUCCGAUUGCGAAGGCAGUUCACUGGACUGCAACUGACACUGAGGCUCGAAAGUGUGGGUAUCAAACAGGAUUAAAUACCCCUGUAGUC
rnacentral:rRNA from 1 species